rnacentral:RNase_P_RNA from 1 species
GGGGCAGGAGCUUGACUCCGGCGGUUUUUUCGCUGAGGAAAGUCCACCCACCGACGCGAGCCUUGUGCAAAGGCGAGCUGAAACAUGGCCACUCCUGUCAGGGAGUUCCUGAAAGGGAAGGCAACCGCUCAGAAACGGCACGGCCCAUGGGUUAGGAUGAUGCUGAGAAUCCCUCCGCGAGGAUAUGGGAGAGUUAACCUGCAGACAUUUCCCCUGGGAUACGGUGAAACGGCGAGUCCUGGCCGGUGCAAGUCUUUGACGCUUAGUCGAAUGUUGAGGCGUGCCAUCGGCAGCCUGUGCUGCCAUCGGGCAUGACAGAAGGUGGCUUAUUCUUGCCCC